GCACCGCGAACGGGAGGAGCGUGCGGUUCAAUUGGAUUCAACACCGGACAACUCACCGAGGAGCGACGGUUACAGUGAAGGCCAGGCUGAUGACCUUGCCUGAUUUUCCGAGAGGUGGUGCAUGGCCGUCGUCAGUUCGUACCGUAAGGCGUUCUCUUAAGUGAGAUAACGAACGAGACCCUCACCGUUAAUUGCUAGUGUUCUCUCCGGAGGGCACGCACAUUAACGGGACCGCUGUCGCUAAGGACAGAGGAAGGGGAGGUCAACGGUAGGUCCGUAUGCCCCGAAUCUCCUGGGCUACACGCGCGCUACAAAGGUUGGGACAAUGGGCUCCGACAUCGAAAGGUGAAGGCAAAUCUCGAAACCCAAUCGUAGUUCGGAUUGAGGGUUGUAACUCACCCUCAUGAAGCUGGAUUCCGUAGUAAUCGCGGAUCAACAAUCCGCGGUGAAUAUGCCCCUGCUCCUU
rnacentral:rRNA from 1 species